AGGAAGGUAAUUUUGACAUUGUCUCUGGAACUCGCUACAAAGGAAAUGGAGGUGUUUAUGGCUGGGAUUUGAAAAGAAAAUUAAUCAGCUUUACUUUCCUCAUCAUGAAAUGGAAUGAAACCUGUUUCAGUUUUCUGCUGCUGUAUAACAGACCAUCCCAAAGCUUAGUGACGUAAAACAACGACAUUAUUUCUUCUGGUUCUGUGGAUUGGCUGGUGCCGUGGGGCCAAUUUUGUAACUCAGAUUUUGCUGAGACCAGGAGCAUCUGAUUUAACAGGAAGUUUCAGG